rnacentral:lncRNA from 1 species
GUUCGAGAGCCAGUCACUGCAGUCUUUUUAAAAAAAAGUCAAGCCUCUCCGCAAUAGCAGUGAUUUCAACGAGAAGACGUCAACGUAGAAUACUAAUGACUUGAAAAGAACCGAGGCCAGCAGAGGCGGAAGUAUUAUGACCUGAUGAGUGGCUUCUACACGGCCCAGACUGUGCCCGCAGGAAUGCCCUGACCGAGUGGUUUCAACCCCCAGCUCUCACAACCUGACAAGUUUCUGUGCAGUCUUCAGAUAUCUGGCAAAGGCUUUCCUCUGAGAUAUAGCUGGCUUGGCUGCCAGGAUACUGGCACAUCCCCGGGAGCAUCACCCCCUGCUCUGUGGACAUGAGCUUCAUUGAGCAGCCUCUAGACAUGCCCCCUCCUUACACCUCAGCUUCCUCCCUAGUAGGAGGAACCGCCUACACCCAUCGCUCCGGGACUCUAUUCUCACAACACUCGGGGCUACGCUGUUGCAAGUAUCAGUAGAACACGCCUGACUCUCCUCCACCAGUCAUACAAGGAGAAUGGUCUAAUGCCUCCCAUAAAAUAGAGAGCUGACCCAAGCAAGCAGUGGUUACACCUGAAGCCUAAGGAGUGGUGAACUUCAACAACUAUGCAGAGGAUAAUGCAAUGGUAUUACCAGGACGCCACCCAGGACACAAACACUUUGGUGGAAAGCUGCUGCCAUCCCAUGUGACAAAAGCAGCAGUAUGGCGUCUCCACAAGGAAUCGAUGACAACACUUGGACAGCACUGUGACAGGAGUCAACAUCCCACAUCUGGUUGGACAAGAAGGAUGGUACGGUGCUGGUGGAAAGCUAUUUCUGGCAACAACACCGGACUCCAUACUUCAGGCCGCUGCCACAGAUCAAGCAGUACCAGCACUUCAGCUUCGAUGCUCUGGAGCCUGGUGUUGUUGCCAGAGAGUGUUUGGACUCAGUCAGGACCAGGUUUCAGCUGCUGCGCAACGCUGACAUCCUUCCUCCCAUAGAUGGUCAGCCUGUACAAGCACCACCUGGACUGGACACAGUUAACUAGACAAACUUGUAUUUUUGAGAAGAUCAGGGAGUUUUGCGACAAAGAGGCUAUGGACAUCACAUGCCCUGCACCAAAGUCAAGGGUAGGACAGAAACAUACUCUCCGAAUAUAGAUUCCCUUGUUCAUGCAUGGUUCGGACGGACCAGUCAUCAGCACUAUCUGCAGCGCCUCUAUUCACAUGACUCUCUCCUAACACACACAUGCCAUAUGUUGCUGCUACAAUGUUUUUUUUUAUCCCGCUGCUCAGCCACUUUACCCCUGAUUGUAUGCAUAUUAAUACCUCACCUAUCACUGAUAUCAUUAUUGAUAUUAACCUUGAACAUACUGUAUAUUAUUUUAUUUAUAUUGACAUUACCUAUUUAUAAUAUUUCUACUAUGCAAGUAACUAUUUGGCUGUAACAUUUACACCUUCUGUUGAGUCCCAUCCACUUAGCAAGAUGUGGCUGGGGUUAUAGCAUUUCUUUCAAAUUACCCAUCAAUUUAAACAAGUGUCUGGGUAAGCGUCAUCUCAUAU